UACGUAGGCAGCGAGCGUUGUUCGGAUUUACUGGGCGUAAAGGGCGCGUAGGCGGCACCGCAAGUCGACUGUGAAAUCUCCGGGCUUAACCCGGAAAGGUCAGCCGAUACUGCGGGGCUAGAGUGCAGAAGGGGCAACUGGAAUUCUCGGUGUAGCGGUGAAAUGCGUAGAUAUCGAGAGGAACACCUGCGGCGAAGGCGGGUUGCUGGGCUGACACUGACGCUGAUGCGCGAAAGCUAGGGGAGCGAACGGG
rnacentral:rRNA from 1 species